rnacentral:rRNA from 1 species
CCUACGGGAGGCAGCAGUGGGGAAUAUUGCGCAAUGGGCGAAAGCCUGACGCAGCGACGCCGCGUGAGGGAUGAAGGUCUUCGGAUCGUAAACCUCUGUCAGCAGGGAAGAAAGGUCACGGGGGUAAGCAGCAGUGAAUGGACGGUACCUGCAAAGGAAGCACCGGCUAACUCCGUGCCAGCAGCCGCGGUAAUACGGAGGGUGCGAGCGUUAAUCGGAAUGACUGGGCGGAAAGCGCUCGUAGGCGGUAUGUCAAGUCAAGGGUGAACUCCCCGCGCUCAACGUGGGAACUGCCUUUGAAACUGGCAACCUGGAGUGUGUGUGAGGUUAGUGGAAUUCCUGGUGUAGGCG